rnacentral:tRNA from 1 species
GCCAGCGUGGCAUAGUGGUUUGAGCAUUGGGCUGUGACUCUGAAGACCAGGGUUCAAUUCCCAUAUCGGCCA